GAGAACCUAGCCACAGUGGAAGAUUCAGAAGUCCACUGAGGGAGGCAGAGAGAGACAUCACACACGCGCGUGGCACGCGACACAUUCGUUCUGGGAUAGACCUGUCCCGUGUUGUAGCGGGGCGCAGAAGGAAGGAGGUCGCCCGUUUGGGAAGCUGUAAGAGGCUGGAGCUAGCUGCCCAGAACGCCAUCUACCCCAAGGAUCACAACACCACGUUUCCUGCGGUGCCCAAGGCUCGUGAUGUCUCCAGCUGCCAUAUGCAACAACGAGUUCCAUGAGGUGCUAACCACUGCCCUGCAAACAGGAGUGAGCCUUGAGUGCCCGGCAGCCCUGGCUCGACAUUCCCGCCUCUACAGCACAGCACAGCACAGCACAGCUGUCCCUCCACUGCAGAGGACACCUCCCCUAGACGAUCACCUCGUGUGGCAGUCGGUGCAGAACACAAGCAUCUGUUGGCUCAGAUCAAGGAGUGUAUAUUUUGUACAGGGAGGGCUUCCCACGUGGGACCGAGGCUUUGGUUGGAGUCUGCAGGCCACUAGGCUUGGUUCCAACCUCUGGUGGCUGCUGCUGGAUCCCAGGACCCUCUGAGGUGCCAGUACCCUCGGGUGGCUAUAGAUACGUAUCCUGCCUGCCUGUUUCUAGCGUGCACGUGUGUGUGUGUGUGUGUGUGUGUGUGUGUGUGUGUGUGUGUGUGUGAGUGAGAGGGGGGGGGGGAGGAUGUCUUGCCCCAGCGGGGCCCUCUACCAUGGACAGGUCAAGGGGUCAGGGGAUCCCUAAGGAAGGCCAUGACCCAGGAAGGAGCCCAUCGGGGAGCACCAGACGGUGGCACACUGAUGGACAGAGGGUCACACAGACUCAUCUACCUGUCUGUGGCAAGUGAAGGAAAAAGAACUGUGUCAACACACAGAUGGGCCAGUUUUUCUGGGGCCUGUCUUUGAGGAACCUGCAGCCCUGUCCCCGUUUGUCUGGCUGGCUGGCUGGCUGGCUGCCCAGGAGGGAGCCACCCUGAUACCUGCUGCCAAGGGUGCCAGAGCACCCUUGAUGAGGGACAUGAGAGAGGUGGUGAAAAGUGCCUUCUGAUGUCUCUCUCUGGGCUGUAGGGGAAAUCAGGGUUUUGUGUGUGUGUAGGGCUGGGUCGGCAUCCAGUGUGUCCUGGGAAUGGGCUCAGUCCUUCUGAAGAGGAGGCACAGCCACUCGAAUGAUUCCCUGCUGUCAAUCUUCCCUCCCUCCACGGGGCCUCCAGUGUUGGGGUUUUGUUUCCCCCCUACCCUUACCUUCAGGCUCAAACAAGAGUCUGCAUUGUGCCACUAGCUACCCUCCAGGGCCAAGGUUGGGGUCACCAAGCAGCCUGAUAUCAGAUACUCUCCUGAGGUUCAGGAGGGAGCAGUUCCCGUACUGCCCAGAGGGACCAACCCUCUCUCUGGAGCACAGCCUCGUGUGCCCCAUUUGCCAUCACCCUCCCUCCCUCGGUGAGGGGCUACAGACCCCUACUCCCGAUGAGCCCAUGACCAGUCAAUGUCAGAUGCUAGCUAAUGCAUUUCCAGUGGGAUGGGAAGUGGGAUGGGACCUUUGGAGCCAGGCAGGGGAGUGCUGGAUGAGGGCAGGGGAGUGGACCCCAGGGGUUGGUUAGGCUUAGGUCUGGCACAGGGUGAGGGUUAGGGACUGCUGAGGUCAGCCAGCCAGUGGCUCAGAGAAGCCUGAGGCCUCCUCUGUCAACCCCCACCCCCACUCCCUCCCCCACACACCCCAAAGGAAUGUCUGCUUGGAUGCAGGAUUAGAUGGCCCCCACCCAAGGAGGAAGUUGCUCUGUCUGUUCAAACUGGAGACUCUGGUUGAAUAUUUCCUCCUGGAAAAAUCUAUUGUGUUUCUCUGUUCCAAAGUUAGCAUCGGGAAACAAGGAGAAAGUGCUCACUCACUGUACAAGUCCAGGAGUAAAGCAGAAGGAGGCAGUGAGCAGGGUGAGCCAUGCCCUCCACGCCCCCACACACAGGAGAGAAAAACCCUGUUGAUUCACCAAGGAGGCGGGAGGAGAUGAGUGUGUCAGUCUGUCAGAGGCUAAGUGUAAAUCCCUGUCAGACUGUAGCUGAAUCUCAUUUCCAGCGGGAUAUCUCUCUGGUUUGGUGGUUCUCAGACCAAGAGCCCUGUGGGGGGAAAAAAGCCAGAGAGAAUGUUGAGGUUAGUUAGUUUCCCAGCCUCCCGGACACGCAUUUGGGCACCAAUCAGUGCAAGUUUACCACACACACGUGCUCCCCGCCUCCAUCCACACCCUAAGUCUAACCACACACACAGAUGCCCUGACGAUCACCUAUAACCCUGGCACACACAGUUCAGCAAGCUCGGCCCGCUAAACUCCAACUGUAUCUCUCCAUUGGGCCAGGCUUGGACUGACUCCCUAGACCCUUCACAAACCCACCUGAGUCCUGUUUGCCUCUUUUCUCUCUUUCUUUUCUCUCUCUCUCCCUCUCUCCCCCUCUCCCUCUCCUUUCCUAGUUUGGUUCUCUCCAGAGGCUUGUUUCCAGGGCCUUUGGGGGCAUUUGCACUCUGGGCUUCCCUCCAUUCCCUUGGCCUCUUUUCACUGGCUCUCUCUGCUUUUGUCAUGCAGCUGGCCCGUGCUUGAGGCUGUCUCUCAGCGGUUUUGUUGGCCCCAUGUCUCUUUUCGCUCUCUCCCUGCCCACGAUUUCUCAGAUCCCAACACCACACACAGAAGCACCUAGGCCUUGGUCCUCACCGUGAGCCUAACACACGCAGCUCAGCUCAGCUCAGCUCUGCUCGGUUGAUUCCAGAUGUGCGCCUCUGUCUGUAUCUGGCUGCUCAGAUUCCCACAUCUGUGCUACACAAGCACCCUUCAGUCCCUUUGCCUCUCUCUGACCCUCCCCGUUUCCAUCCCCCUGUCUUGCCCUUUACCACCCUCCUGCCCCGCUCUGUGCUUUCCUGGGGCCCUUGGACUCUUUCUGCCUCUCUCUCUCUCUGUGGCUCUCUCUGGCUGUCUCUGUCUCUCUGUGCCUCUGUCUCUGUCUCAGCUUUCCUCUGGCCCUUGGCUAUUUUUGGUUCUCUCUCUGCUUUUGUUUCUGGGAUGCCUUGCCUGUUUCUGCUCUCUCUCUGCUUUUUGUCCAUUCCCUUUGCCUCCUUUUGCUUGCUCUCUCUCUCCCUCUCCCCAUCUCCGCUCUCCUGGGGACCUCUACCGGUCUUUGGUUCUAUCUGCUUUCGUUUCCAGAGCCCCCUGGGGACUUUUUUUCACUCUCUCGGCUUUUCUCCAUUCCCUGGGCUGCUUUUCAGUCUCUCUCUGCCUUUUUUCCUGUCCCUGGCCUUUUUGGGGGCUGGCUCUCAGCUGUUUGUGUGGCCCCACCCGUGUCUCUUUCACUGCCUCCCUCCCCAUUAUUUUUCAGACCCUACCAACACAAACACACACACACACACACACACACACACACACACACACACACACAUACACACCAGCCCUGAUCCUCACCCAAGCCUUAGGGUUAGGGUUGGGGUUAGGGUGUUAGUGUUAGGGGCUUAGGGUUAGGGACUUAGGG